AGAACGAACGCUGGCGGCGUGGAUAAGACAUGCAAGUCGAGCGAUCAUUAGCUGGUAGCAAUAUUAGCUAGUGGGAGCGGCGCAAGGGUGCGUAACACGUGGGUAAUCUGCCAUGAAGCCCGGGAUAAUUCCGCGAAAGCGGGACUAAUACCGGAUGUGAAUCUGGGGGGGCAUCCCUCUGGGUUUGAAGUUGGGGACCGUAAGGCCUGACACUUCAUGAUGAGCCCGCGGCCUAUCAGCUAGUUGGUGAGGUAACGGCUCACCAAGGCUAAGACGGGUAGCUGGUCUGAGAGGACGACCAGCCACACUGGAACUGAGACACGGUCCAGACACCUACGGGUGGCAGCAGUCGAGAAUUUUUCACAAUGGGGGAAACCCUGAUGGAGCGACGCCGCGUGGGGGAUGAAUGGCUUCGGCCCGUAAACCCCUGUCAUUUGCGAGCAAAGCGUAUUAUUUAAAAGAUGAUGCGUUGAUAGUAGCGGAAGAGGAAGGGACGGCUAACUCUGUGCCAGCAGCCGCGGUAAUACAGAGGUCCCGAGCGUUGUUCGGAUUCACUGGGCGUAAAGGGUGCGUAGGUGGUGAGGUAAGUCGGAUGUGAAAUCCCGGAGCUUAACUCCGGAACGGCAUUGGAAACUACCUUGCUAGAGGUUUGGAGGGGGGACUGGAAUUCUCGGUGUAGCAGUGAAAUGCGUAGAUAUCGAGAGGAACACCAGUGGCGAAGGCGAGUCCCUGGACAACACCUGACACUGAGGCACGAAAGCUAGGGGAGCAAACAGGAUUAGAUACCCUGGUAGUCCUAGCCGUAAACGGUGCACGUUUGCUGUAAGAGAAAUCGACCCCUUUUGUGGCGAAGCCAACGCGAUAAACGUGCCGCCUGGGAAGUACGGUCGCCAGAUC
rnacentral:rRNA from 1 species